GGGAUGACCAUGCUCUCUUGCUACCCGGUCCGCGGACGUGUGCAGACGUGUUCCCUAAGGUAAGUAUUGCCAGGAGGAUACAUGCCCUGAUGUAAGUAUUUCCAGGAGGAUAUAUAAGUGUAUUAGCCUGUGACGUAAGUAUUAGCCUGUGACUUAGUGUCUUGCCCUGGAGGUUUAGCCUGUGCGUGGGGUAGGUAUUCCCAGGAGGAUCGGUGGUGUGCAGCCGACGACGACAGCAGACGAGUAUUUCCCUCGAAGUGUGUACUGCCGAGGACGACGUCUGCCAUCCUGACAAGGUUUACAGUCGAUGCUCAUUUGAGUGUAUUAGAUAAGUGUCGGUGUUAUUAGUUGCUGAAAUUGCAGGCAAAACCCUCUGAAGAGCUAACCGAAAUAAACACCACAGUAUUUAUGUUUGAUAACGUUAAAUAUAUUCGUUUUAUCAUUAUCUGCAUUAAAAUUAAACGUCCAAGGGAAAUGAAAUUUGUUAUGUUGGGAUAAAUAAUUCGUUAAAUAGGUUCAUUGACAUUGUGUCAAAAUGGCCUAUGUCAACACACAUGACGCCUCUGUCUUUGACAGCUUUGGUUUGAACUUUGAAGACCUUUCUUGGAAGAAAACCACCUGGGAUACCUACUUGGCGACUCUGGCUAUUCGUUAAAAAAAUAUGUAUAAACGCCCUUGCUUAGGCCAACAACAGAUGCAGUGGUGAGGUUCAACAAUGCCCAGUCAAGUUGUUGGAUUGUGGUUGAGAGGGCUUUUGGACUGCUGAUAGUAGAUUAAGGUGUCUACAUAAAACUGAGGGCGUUUAUUCUUGAGACUCGAUGAUUGCUGUCAAGCAGUGGAUGCAUGAAUGCGCCUACACAACUUAUGCAUAGAUCAGCAGGUACCACUGCCUGAACAACUUAUUGAGGCACAGGAAGUUGAUUAUGUUGUGCACGGUGCCCCGCAAUAGGAUAAAAUGCAGCACUUAUAGACAUGAUUAACUUAUUUAUGUAGGUGUUGUGUCAUGCUCACUUAUGCAUGAAGUGCUAUAGGUCAGCCAUUGUGGUCUGUCUAUGCCCGGCUUCAUGCAUUAUCCACAUUUGAUGCUAUGUUGAUGAAAGUUGGUCAUAAUGUUUUUGUUAAUAAUAUCUAGGCUAUCCUCAAGUGUGGUCAAAAUCUUUGUAAGAGUGUUAAUAUUGACAAGUUCUAUGUCAUUAUUUUUUGUUGAUUUUUAGCUCGACUCUUAUAUAUGAAAUAUAUAUAGUGGAGCUAUCCUACUCACCCCGGCGUCUGCAUUAGCGUUGGAAUGUUAAAGUUUGCGUACCACCUCAAAUAUUUCCUAUGUCCCUUGUUAUAUUGCUUUAAUAUUUUGCUUACUUCUUAACCAACAUGACCCCAACCUAUAAACAAGAGCGACAACUGUAGCAAGCAUUUUAUAAGAAUUAUUGCCCUUUUUUCACUUAGAAUAUGCAUAUUAUUGAUAUAUCUAUGCUAAGUUUGCGUACCACCUUCAAUAUUUUCAAUGUCCCUUGACAUAUUGCUUUCAUAUUUUGCAUACUUCUUUACCAACAUGACCCCAAUCUAUAAACAAGAGCAGACAACUGUAACAAGCAUUUUUUAAGAAUUAUGUCCCUCUUUCCACUUAGAAUAUGCAUAUUAUUGAUAAAUCUAUGUUAAAGUUUGCGUACCACCUCAAAUAUUUAUUAUGUACCUUGUCAUAUUUCUUUUAUAUUUUGCAUACUUCUUUACCAACAUGACCCCAAUCUGUUAACAAGAGCAGACAACUGUAUCAAGGAUUUUGUAAGAAUUAUGUUCCCUUUUUAUACUUUGAAUAUUUUUUUUUGGAAGUUUUGUAUUUAGGUUCACUUUAUUCCUAAAGUCUUUAUUCCUAAAGUAUCAAAGCUAUUGCUUUUAUACUUGCAACAAUUACUAACUAUCAUAAGGACAAUCAAAGUUAUUUGACUCUGACUGGCAUUUUGACAGAUUUAUGGCUCCUUUUUAUACUUAGAUAAUUUAAGAUUUGGUUAAGUUUUGUGUUUUGGUCCAUUUUCCCUGUAAAGUAUCAUAGCUAUUGCUUUCAGACUUGGAAAACUUACCUUUAAACUUACCUGACAUACCACAAUGGACUCCACCCAAACCAUCCCCAACGCCCCACCCCAGAAUCCCC